ACUGCUCGGGAGGAGGGACAGGAUAAUCAGCCUGUUGCAUCGUUCAGUGGUAAGCAUAGAGAUCCUGGGAUGUGAGCAUGCUGUGAGCUCAGACUCUAGCUGCACUGCACAAUUAAUCUUUGUGAAGGUAAAACACUUGUGAUGGCAUCUGGUAGGAAGAGCUGCAGUGGGGGUGAGCUCCCAUGGAAACUGCUUUUUAUCACUUCUUUUGAGUAUGAAGCUAUGUCUGUAAAGUGAGAUGAAUCAAAAAUCAAACUAUGAAGACCUCCCAAAUUCAAGACAAACUGUGCACUUUAUGCUCAGAAGAAUCCAAGGAGAAAAAAAGGGAUUACUUGAAAAUCCAAAUGAAAGAAAGUCCAAAAGAGACAGAUACCUGGCAGAAAAGGACUGUGGAACUGGAAGCUGAACUGAAAAGAUGCAAACAUGAGACACCUUCAGACCAAGGGAAUGAAUACGUCUGCUUUUCUAAGAUAAGUCUUCUGCCUUUCAGCUGUAGAGGAUUGCACCUUUUCUUUUUCAUUUCCUGUGCUUGUUGUCAGUGUAUGUUGGAGUGUGUUUCAUGAUGGAAUUCUACACAGAAAUGGCUAUAUUGACUUCUAUAUGGAGUCACUCAUCCCUUCUGUAUGAAGUCAUGUCUAGCUCCUGUCUAUGACACCCACAUCUUUUCUAAUUAUUUCUGAGAUAAGGUGAAGGGAUAAGAACCUAUAGUAUUGAUAGUAUGGAUUAUGUCUGCUGGGGUUUUUGGUUUGCUUUUUAAUGGAUACUCUCAAAGAUUUAAACAAAGCUGUUUGUCAACGUUGUCACUUCUUGAUGACGUUAGUGGUAAACAAAACGCUCAUAGGUCAUUAUUUGUUUGGUUUGCUGGUAGAACUGAUUACUUGGAAUAAUACCACUAAGUUUGUCUCAUGCUGUAAAUCCCACCUUAAUAAAACAUUUUUCAAGGAAUAGGUAAAACGAAAAUUAGAUGUUUCUUUGUGGAAUGAUGUGCUUUUAUACGGUUAAGAAAAUAUUUUAUCCGUAACACCAAGAAAGCCUUCCUGCACAGUUGUUGCCUGUUUUGUUUGAACUUCUCAAAAAGAGAAAAAUCAGUGGAUAACGUAAAGCUUAAGCACUUUUUUUUCCGCACUGUCUUCCUCUCCCCACAUUCUUGUCCUUGAGCCCCCUGCCAAAAGCGGGACCUCCUGCUCAGGCUUUGCUUGUCACUGCUAUCAGCAGAUUGUCACCUGAUGGAUGCCCUCCAUGGUGUCCUUGGUCUGUGCUGGGACACUACCUGCAGCUCCGUUAGCAGGUGUGGCAAUCUGGAGGGGGGAGCUCUCAGUGCAACAACCUGAUGUUUGAUCUGUGGGGGUUUCAAGGGUUUUACUUUUGCCUAGCUCUUAGUCCUUGGGACCAGAUGCCCAGUGGUGGCUGGGAUGCAUCUUUUGGUUGAUUUGAUCCAAAAGGAAUCCAAUUUGCAUUUUUUCAAGACUACUCAGUGAUAUGAACCACAGUGCAAGAUGCAUAGACAAUUGGAAGACUUGCAUCAAGUGCAUUCUGCAGCCAACCAGAUGGUGACGUGGAAGUACCCUUUGAUUUGUUUCAUCUCUUUUAUGUGCUUCAGAAGCUUGAAGAUGAGUUUAGUUCUCCUGAAGCGUGCCUGCUGACCAUUAUUCAGUGGAUGCCCUGCAAGCACGGAGCAGCCUCUGGCAGGAGGGCCUGUGCUGCCAGUGUGUUCCAAGCUGUCUUGUGAAGACUGUUCUGAGCUCUGAAGGCAGCCCAUCUUCCAGCCCAGUGAGACUGAUAACACUGCCAGGGAGGUCUGAUGCAGACAAAUCCUGCCUGGCAGCUUGUUUAAUUAAAGUGGAGGACACAAGCCUGUCUGGAAGGAACUCAGGAUGGAGAGGAGGUGCAAACCCAGAGGACCACCAUGAAACACAGCAAGCUGUUUGUUUUUUGUUUAAAUGGAAGAAGGACAAAGGAAGGGAAAAAGGAAAAAUCUUGAUUCUGGAAAAUGAGAAGGUGCUUAUCAGAGGAAAUGCAGGAGAGAAGCAUACAACCUCAAUGUAAACUUUGGAUUUGCUACAGUGCAAAGAGAAACACUAUGUUGCUGGUAGUGAAGAUGUAUUCUUCAUGGCAAAACGCUGGGGGAAGCAGUUAAGACCUCCUAACACUUCCAUGUUCUCCAGGGCUGUGAGUCUGCAGGUCACAAUACUGCUGUGUGACUAAGGGGGGUGGGAGAAUUUUUUUCCUCUAGUAAGUCAAAUCUUGAGAACUGAAUUCUUACCGUUCCUGUAAAGUCAAAGGUAGGGGUGUUGCUAGGAGUAAGAAUGCUUGGAAAUCUGCUGCUGAGUGCUUUUCUGCCAUGUAUCCCUCAUGUAUCAAACUGGGAUCUGGGCCUCAUCAGCAGUUGGUCGCUGAACCUGCCCCAUUGCAAAAUGGAUGACUUCAUCUAGAGAGUUGAGAUGUUCCAACAAGUCACCUUCACUUUCCAUAACCUGCAGAGCUCUCCAGUCCUGCAGGUGUUGUCAGAGUUGUGCUCUAGGGAAACUUACCCCCUGAAAAAGCUGUGUUAACCUCUAGCAAGUCCCUUGGAAUCUGCAGUGCUGUCCCAGACAUACAGUGCGAACAAAGCCCAGGGUGCUGUAGCACAUUUGUACCAGGGUUUCCUGAUUCUAAGUGCAGUGAGAUAUGGCCUAAAAUGAACCAUUGUUAUAACAAUGACAAAGAUGCUGGGGUAAAAAUAACAUUAUUUCCUUUGGAAAGAAAAGAGUUCUAUUUUUAAUUAUUUUUUUCAUUAGUCUUUCUAUUUCACUCUACCAGUGUUUAUAGUACAGAGUACAAUACUUUUUGUUAUGAUUGUUCUUUGUGUGACUGGGACAUAAGUAGGCAUUCUGUAGCAAAAUGUCUGGGAUACAGAAUCCAAAAAGCUUGUGCUGCAGGAAGUUCUAAAAAAGCCCCACACAAUCCCCUCCCACCCACCCUCCAAAAAAACCCAAACCCCAAACAAAACAAAUGAGCAAAAACCCUAAAAGACUGCCAUAGUUUCUGUGUGGAAAGUUAUUGUAUCCUUUGGAAUGUAAGCUUGCCUAUCUCUUCUGUUAGGACACUUCUCUUAAAACGAAUACUUUCUUCGUGGAAAAUCAGAUUUGCUCCAGAAUUGAAAAUCUUGAUUUUGAUUGCUAAAAGACAUCAAUCUGCCAUUGGCAAUGAUUUUUGUUGUUGUUGUUGUUGUUGCUUUUUUUAGUGGGGAGUGGUUGGCGGGGUUUUGGUUUUGGUUCUCCUGUUUUUCCAUACAGCCAGUUGAUCCAAACAGACCCCUGUGACUGCACGGCAUUGUAGUCUUCAGGGAGGCUUUCACACACGUCAGGCUGGUAUUACUGCUGAAGGAGGGUGCCUGCCUGAAGGAAAUAGCAGAGCUGAAGGCUGUGUUGAAUGGGGGGUCACAGAGUGAACCAUGGGAUGAAGAGGAGUGAAGAGGAAGUAAUGACCACAGACCAUCAAGACAACCACCUAGAGGCCUAACUGCACAGCCAUAAAAGGACACCGUAAGGUCCCGGGAAGACUCGUACAUACGCAAAUAAUUCUGGGAAAUGUAGUGAAUCUGUAUAGCUAUGUGACAUAAAAUGGGACCUGUGAAAUAGUUUGGGAUGCACGUUAGGUGGAGCGAUCCCCCGUGCAUCCGGCACUGCAGUAAAUAAUGCCUGCUUCUUAAUACUACAUUGCUGUUAAGGAGUUGUAGUCCCAGGUUUUGGUGACAUUAGGAAUCUCAUCUACAGACUUUGUUCUUUAUCCUAAUACUUGUCCUUCCAGAAUGUCUUCUACCUGAGGAAUUAAAAGCUUUUUGCAGGUUUUGUAGGAGUUGUCUUUGUCAAGAUACAGGCCUUGUGAGAAUGGGGUGGAAAGUGCUCUGUAGGCUGCAUGCUGGAUGGUCCUUGGCGUACCUGGACAGUCCCCACUUAGGUUUCCAUCCCCUUCAGCUGCCAGCGGUUGCAGGGGAUGGAAAUUCCUUUAGGAUGUGGCAACGCUGUCCUGGAGAGAGGAGUUAUGCAGGGAUUCAUUUCACAGAAACAACUUCCAAGGUGGAUUUUCUUUCCAUUUAGUGUUAAACUGAGUGUGUUUCACAGGUAAAUAGUGCUGAGCUCAGCUGUGUGGCCUAAAGUGGAGUUUGCCCCAUGUUUUAUAGUUGCUGGUUCUACGUUAGAGUAAGGAGGGCAGGCAGUAGGCUUUGGUAUUGUACUGUCUAAAAGAGCAGUAGUUGUUGAAUAAAACUGAGAACUUUUUCAUAGUUACUCUUUAUAUGAUGAUGAAUAUUACCCAGUAUAUUUGCUGCCUCAUCAAUGCUAAAUGUAUCAAUGACUGGGUAUUCUGUAGCUAAAUCUCAUUUAGAAAUAAUGAUGUCUCCAGCCAUUGUGAAGUGGCAUCAUUGUGCAAUAUCCCUGUGCUUUGUAAGUAACUUCAGAAACAUAAAGAUCUUGGUGGAUAGCAUUUUCUUUAAUGUGUUAAUGUAUUCGCACAUCUGGUUUGGCCAGUAAGAACAGAGGACAGUUUGCUUCUGGAGAAGAUGAGAGAACUGCAGGAAGCCCUUGAGAAAAUCUCCCUCGCGUAGCUUGGCCUCAACUGUUCAUGAGAAUGGAGCAAGGUUACCAGCUUCCCAGCAGAGACCAGUGGAUGUUGGGUCAGCGGCUUAAGUAUAGGAGGGAUUUUCUCAUGUGGCUAUUCCUGGGAUGCAGUUCUUUGAGAUGCUGAUUGUAACUGGCCAGCAUGAAAAAGGUCUGUUCUGAUCUGACAUUCCUCAAACACCUGAAAUUCCUAUUGAAGAAAGAAGCAAUUUUGAGUUUUGCUGGAGUGUGCAAGGGCUUUUUCUUUCCUAAAGCCAGGUGAUUCUCAAAAUACUAUACAACCACAGAUCUAAGACUGAAAUUCCACUGAAGGGAAAAAAGAACGUAACAUCCUGCUUGAUAUUAUGGUAAUUAUGUACAUGAGAAGAUGGUUUCUAGAGGAAGUGUUAUCGUACAUAUGAAGAAUGCUUGAGAAAUGCAGGUAGUAUCGAAGUGAGGAGGACUCGCCCUCCAAUCUACGCAGAUGCUCCUGCCCCGCAGCGAUGGCAGAGCAGGAAACCCACACAGCCAGAAGGGACGAGGGAACCAGCGAUCUAUGACUUGCUGCCUCUCUGGGUUUGGAAACGGGGCAGAGCCCACACUACCAGCACAUGGUCGUACUGAAAUGGAAACAGAAAAAUAUGCUGCACCUGAGCUUUACAGUAGACUCUAAUUUCUUAUCACUUCUUUCCCAGCUUAAACCUCUCACAUUUCUGCUGUAACUUUUUGUUGUGUUUUCAGUUAUCACAUGAUAACCCUAUCGGACAACAUAUUUACAACAGUCAUCUCGGUUCCCUGUGCAAACAUGCCAUGAAUGUUUAAUUACAAAAUUUAGUAAUAUUUAUACAGAGAUGGGGCAGCAGAGAUUAAAAUGGGCUAAUACUGGUGUGAAAAGUAUUUUUUAG